GAUGAACGCUGGCGGCGUGCCUAAUACAUGCAAGUCGAGCGAAUGGAUUAAGAGCUUGCUUUUAUGAAGUUAGCGGCGGACGGGUGAGUAACACGUGGGUAACCUGCCCAUAAGACUGGGAUAACUCCGGGAAACCGGGGCUAAUACCGGAUAACAUUUUGAACCGCAUGGUUCGAAAUUGAAAGGCGGCUUCGGCUGUCACUUAUGGAUGGACCCGCGUCGCAUUAGCUAGUUGGUGAGGUAACGGCUCACCAAGGCAACGAUGCGUAGCCGACCUGAGAGGGUGAGCGGCCACACUGGGACUGAGACACGGCCCAGACUCCUACGGGAGGCAGCAGUAGGGAAUCUUCCGCAAUGGACGAAAGUCUGACGGAGCAACGCCGCGUGAGUGAUGAAGGCUUUCGGGUCGUAAAACUCUGUCGUUAGGGAAGAACAAGUGCUAGUUGAAUAAGCUGGCACCUUGUCGGUACCUAACCAGAAAGCCACGGCUAACUACGUGCCAGCAGCCGCAGUAA
rnacentral:rRNA from 1 species